rnacentral:rRNA from 1 species
AUAUAAGUUAUCGUUUAUUUGAUAGUGCCUAACCACUUGGAUAACCGUGGUAAUUCUAGAGCUAAUACAUGCUGAAAACCCCGACUUUAGAAGGGAUGUAUUUAUUAGAUUCAAAACCAAUGCCCUCUGGGCUCUUUGGUGAUUCAGAGUAACUUUUCGAAUCGCACGGCCUUGCGCUGGCGAUGGUUCAUUCAAAUUUCUUCCCUAUCAACUUUCGAUGUUUCGGUAUUGGCCAAACAUGGUUGCAACGGGUAACGGAGGGUUAGGGCUCGACCCCGGAGAAGGAGCCUGACAAACGGCUACUACAUCCAAGGAAGGCAGCAGGCGCGCAAAUUACCCAAUCCCGAUUCGGGGAGGUAGUGACAAUAAAUACUGAUACAGGGCUCUUUUGGGCCUUGUAAUUGGAAUGAGUACAAUUUAAAUCCCUUAACAAGGAACAAUUGGAGGGCAAGUCUGGUGCCAGCAGCCGCGGUAAUUCCAGCUCCAAUAGCGUAUAUUAAAGUUGUUGUGGUUAAAAAGCUCGUAGUUGAACCUCGGGCCUGGCUGGCUGGUCCGCCUCACCGCGUGUACUGGCCUGGCCGGGCCUUUCCUUCUGUGGAACUCCAUGCCCUUCACUGGGUGUGGCGGGGAAACAGGACUUUUACUUUGAAAAAAUUAGAGUGCUCCAGGCAGGCCUAUGCUCGAAUACAUUAGCAUGGAAUAAUAAAAUAGGACGUGUGGUUCUAUUUUGUUGGUUUCUAGGACCGCCGUAAUGGUUAAUAGGGACAGUCGGGGGCAUCAGUAUUCAAUUGUUAGAGGUGAAAUUCUUGGAUCAAUUGAAGACUAACUACUGCGAAAGCAUUUGCCAAGGAUGUUUUCAUUAAUCAGGAACGAAAGUUAGGGGAUCGAAGACGAUCAGAUACCGUCGUAGUCCUAACCAUAAACUAUGCCGACUAGGGAUUAGACGAUGUUAUUUUUUGACACGUUUA